GCCCCAGUAACGGCGAGUGAAGCGGCAACAGCUCAAAUUUGAAAUCUGGUCCCCAGGGCCCGAGUUGUAAUUUGCAGAGGAUGCUUUUGGUGAGGUGCCUUCCGAGUUCCCUGGAACGGGACGCCAUAGAGGGUGAGAGCCCCGUCUGGUUGGAUACCGAGCCUCUGUAAAGCUCCUUCGACGAGUCGAGUAGUUUGGGAAUGCUGCUCUAAAUGGGAGGUAUAUGUCUUCUAAAGCUAAAUAUUGGCCAGAGACCGAUAGCGCACAAGUAGAGUGAUCGAAAGAUGAAAAGCACUUUGAAAAGAGGGUUAAAUAGUACGUGAAAUUGUUGAAAGGGAAGCACUUAUGACCAGACUUGGCCCCGGUGAAUCAUCCAGCGGUUCCCGCUGGUGCACUUUGCCGGGGUUCAGGCCAGCAUCAGUUCGCUCCGGGGGAUAAAGGCUUUGGGAAUGUGGCUCCCUCGGGAGUGUUAUAGCCCAUUGCGUAAUACCUUGUGGCGGGCUGAGGUUCGCGCUUUAUGCAAGGAUGCUGGCAUAAUGGUCAUCAGUGACCCGUCUUGAAACACGGACCAAGGAGUCGUCUUCGUAUGCGAGUGUUCGGGUGUUAAACCCCUACGCGUAAUGAAAGUGAACGCAGGUGAGAGCCCUCCAGGGCGCAUCAUCGACCGAUCCUGAUGUUCUCGGAUGGAUUUGAGUAAGAGCAUACGGGGCCGGACCCGAAAGAAGGUGAACUAUGCCUGUAUAGGGUGAAGCCAGAGGAAACUCUGGUGGAGGCUCGCAGCGGUUCUGACGUGCAAAUCGAUCGUCAAAUAUGGGCAUGGGGGCGAAAGACUAAUCGAACCUUCUAGUAGCUGGUUUCCGCCGAAGUUUCCCUCAGGAUAGCAGUGUUGAUUUCUCAGUUUUAUGAGGUAAAGCGAAUGAUUAGGGACCCGGGGGCGGCUUAUAGCCUUCAUCCAUUCUCAAACUUUAAAUAUGUAAGAAGCCCUUGUUGCUUAGGUGAACGUGGGCAUUCGAAUGUAUCAACACUAGUGGGCCAUUUUUGGUAAGCAGAACUGGCGAUGCGGGAUGAACCGAACGCGAGGUUAAGGUGCCAGAGUAGACGCUCAUCAGACACCACAAAAGGUGUUAGUACAUCUUGACAGCAGGACGGUGGCCAUGGAAGUCGGAAUCCGCUAAGGACUGUGUAACAACUCACCUGCCGAAUGUACUAGCCCUGAAAAUGGAUGGCGCUCAAGCGUCUCACCCAUACCUCGCCCUCGGGGUAGGAACGAUGCCCCGAGGAGUAGGCGGACGUGGGGGUCAGUGACGAAGCCCAGG
rnacentral:rRNA from 1 species